GGAGGAUAUGGAACAAACACAUGAUAGGUUUAAUUCAAAUAGUGGCAUGGCUAUCAAUCCAAGUAAGCGAAAGGAUAAGGAAAGCGAAACCCGCAUGGCAUUUACUUGCAAGAAUCAUAAGUUGUUUGUCCAAAAAACUACGAAGCAAUUAUCAGCCAAAAAAUAGAGAAUUCAGUUGUACGUAGAUGCAAACCGAACAAUGACUUCAAAGUACAAUUAGUUCACCAUUCAAGCAGUUGAACCAAUAGAAGAUUAGGCCGAAGUUACCUUUUUUUUUUUUUUUUACAUUAAUUUUAUUUUAUUUAGUGUUGAGACUUUUCUUGGUGCCGAGCUUCUUUUUCUUUCUCUUGACUUGUUAUUUAUGGAUUUACAUGGAGUAGUGUAUGCAAGUAUUUCAUAUACCCAGUUUUCUAAAAAUAAAUAAUAAGUAUUAUUUUAUUAUGAUUUAUAUAUACCUAAUUAUAUUUUACCAACCAAUUAUAAUAGCACAAAUAUUAAUUUGAUAAAACAAAUUAUUCGUAUGAUCAUACCUUUACAUACAAUCUAAAUAAGAAGAAAUAAAAAAAAAAACUAAACUUUACCUAAAACUAAUAUUUA